rnacentral:rRNA from 1 species
ACAAGGGCCGGGCAAGACCGGUGCCAGCCGCCGCGGUAACACCGGCGGCUCGAGUGGUGAUCGUGAUUAUUGGGUCUAAAGGGUCCGUAGCCGGGUUGGUCAGUCUUCCGGGAAAUCUGACGGCUCAACCGUCAGGCGUUCAAGGGAUACUGCCAGUCUUGGAACCGGGAGAGGUGAGGGGUACUUCAGGGGUAGGAGUGAAAUCCUGUAAUCCUCGAGGGACCACCUGUGGCGAAGGCGUCUCACCAG